UUCAAAUGGAGAAAAGGAGACACGGGGUGUUUUCUGGAGAAUGGGGUUCAUUGUUUGGCAAUGAGAGUGACAUGAAGUUGUCGGGGUUCAAAUGCGGUGAUCAGGGAUCAUACGCGCGAAAGAAAUAUAUUUGUUUUGGGGUUCAAGAAAGGCAAAAAAAAAUAAUCAAAGAAGUUUUGGGGUUCAAGAAAAGCAAAAAAAAAAAAAUAAUAAUAAUAAUUCCCAGCGGAGCGCAAAUUGUUCGUCUGUUCUUGGUAUUCAACCACUC
rnacentral:lncRNA from 1 species